UACGGGGGGGGCAAGCGUUGUUCGGAAUUACUGGGCGUAAAGGGCUCGUAGGCGGCCAACUAAGUCAGACGUGAAAUCCCCGGGCUCAACCUGGGAACUGCAUCUGUGACUGCAUCGCUGGAGUGCGGCAGAGGGGGAUGGAAUUCCGCGUGUAGCAGUGAAAUGCGUAGAUAUGCGGAGGAACACCGAUGGCGAAGGCAAUCCCCUGGGCCUGCACUGACGCUCAUGCACGAAAGCGUGGGGAGCAAACAGG
rnacentral:rRNA from 1 species